GGGCAGGGCGCGGCUACCAUGCAGUCGGACGGUAGCACAGAGAGCUUGCUCUCGGGUGACGAGUGGCGGACGGGUGAGUAAUGUCUGGGAAACUGCCCGAUGGAGGGGGAUAACUACUGGAAACGGUAGCUAAUACCGCAUAACGUCGCAAGACCAAAGUGGGGGACCUUCGGGCCUCACACCAUCGGAUGUGCCCAGAUGGGAUUAGCUAGUAGGUGGGGUAAUGGCUGCAACAGUUAUUCUCCCAUGUCUGUUUUGCCUCAAGGAUUAACACAGGCCACACCUGAACUUGAGAAUACUGUUUCCACACCUCCUCUCACGGUAGUCAGACAGUGGGGAAUUACUUUGCACAAUAUUCGGGGCCAUAGCCCUGAUGCGAGACCAAUAACCGGUGAGUAUGUAAGGACAUGCUUUCGGGAUUUUUAACGCACACUUCUAGCCGAGCAAGGAAAGGGCGGUGAAGUCAAUAAACCUCCUCUGAUUUGACGUUAUCCCGCAGAAAGAAAACAGCCGGCUUAGUUCCAUGUUCAGCAGGCCGUCGAAAUAAGGAAGAGGGGUCAUCCGUUAAUUCAGAAAAAUUAAGCGUAAAGGCCCACGCCCGUGGGUCGGGCCCAGUUGGAAUUGAUAAUCCCCUGGAACCAACCCGGGGAAAUUCCUUUCGAAACUGGGAAGUAAAGAGUUUUUGUUGCGGGGGGGCACAAAUUCCAGGGGGUAGCGCUCAAAUUCGUAGUGAUUUGGGGGGAAGGACCUGCCGGGGAGAGCGGCCCCCCGUGAUAAACAACAGACGUUCCGGCGUGAGAGUUGGGGGUGCUCACGGGGGUCGCCUCCCCCGUCGUUCAUCCCCCCAAAAAACGACGACUUUAGGAGGUUCCCUCGAGGAGUAGCCCCCUCAGCCAAAAACGUAACAAGUCCGCCUCGAGAGGAGUACGCCCGCAAGGCCAAAACUCAAAAGAUUUGACGGGGGCCCGCACAAGCGGUGGAGCAUGUGGUUUAAUUUGAUGCAACGAGAAGAACCUUACCUACUCUUGACAUCCACGGAACUUGGCAGAGAUGCCUUGGUGCCUUCGGGAACCGUGAGACAGGUGCUGCAUGGCUGUCGUCAGCUCGUGUUGUGAAAUGUUGGGUUAAGUCCCGCAACGAGCGCAACCCUUAUCCUUUGUUGCCAGCGGGUAAUGCCGGGAACUCAAAGGAGACUGCCAGUGAUAAACUGGAGGAAGGUGGGGAUGACGUCAAGUCAUCAUGGCCCUUACGAGUAGGGCUACACACGUGCUACAAUGGCGCAUACAAAGAGAAGCGACCUCGCGAGAGCAAGCGGACCUCAUAAAGUGCGUCGUAGUCCGGAUCGGAGUCUGCAACUCGACUCCGUGAAGUCGGAAUCGCUAGUAAUCGUAGAUCAGAAUGCUACGGUGAAUACGUUCCCGGGCCUUGUACACACCGCCCGUCACACCAUGGGAGUGGGUUGCAAAAGAAGUAGGUAGCUUAACCUUCGGGAGGGCGCUUACCACUUUGAUUAUUUCCG
rnacentral:rRNA from 1 species